rnacentral:rRNA from 1 species
UUCGCCCUUAGAGUUUGAUCCUGGCUCAGGACGAACGCUGGCGGCGCGCCUAACACAUGCAAGUCGAGCGGAGUUACUUGAUCUGAUUCUUUCGGGAUGACGAACUUGUAACUUAGUGGCGAACGGGUGAGUAACGCGUGAGGAACCUGCCCCAGAGUGGGGGACAACAGUUGGAAACGACUGCUAAUACCGCAUAAGCCCACGGUACCGCAUGGUACAGAGGGAAAAGGAGCAAUUCGCUUUGGGAUGGCCUCGCGUCUGAUUAGAUAGUUGGUGAGGUAACGGCCCACCAAGUCGACGAUCAGUAGCCGGACUGAGAGGUUGAUCGGCCACAUUGGGACUGAGAUACGGCCCAGACUCCUACGGGAGGCAGCAGUGGGGAAUAUUGCACAAUGGGGGAAACCCUGAUGCAGCGACGCCGCGUGGAGGAAGAAGGUCUUCGGAUUGUAAACUCCUGUCGUUGAGGACGAUAAUGACGGUACUCAACAAGAAAGCCACGGCUAACUACGUGCCAGCAGCCGCGGUAAAACGUAGGUGGCAAGCGUUGUCCGGAAUUACUGGGUGUAAAGGGAGCGCAGGCGGAAGCGCAAGUUGGAUGUGAAACCCAUGGGCUCAACCCAUGGCCUGCAUCCAAAACUGUGUUUCUUGAGUAGUGCAGAGGUAGGCGGAAUUCCCGGUGUAGCGGUGGAAUGCGUAGAUAUCGGGAGGAACACCAGUGGCGAAGGCGGCUUGCUGGACGACAACUGACGCUGAGGCGCGAAAGCGUGGGGAGCAAACAGGAUUAGAUACCCUGGUAGUCCACGCUGUAAACGAUGAAUACUAGGUGUGGGGGGACUGACCCCCUCCGUGCCGCAGUUAACACAAUAAGUAUUCCACCUGGGGAGUACGACCGCAAGGUUGAAACUCAAAGGAAUUGACGGGGGCCCGCACAAGCAGUGGAUUAUGUGGUUUAAUUCGACGCAACGCGAAGAACCUUACCAGGACUUGACAUCCAACUAACGAAGUAGAGAUACAUCAGGUGCCCUUCGGGGAAAGUUGAGACAGGUGGUGCAUGGUUGUCGUCAGCUCGUGUCGUGAGAUGUUGGGUUAAGUCCCGCAACGAGCGCAACCCCUAUUGUUAGUUGCUACGAAAGAGCACUCUAGCGAGACUGCCGUUGACAAAACGGAGGAAGGCGGGGACGACGUCAAAUCAUCAUGCCCCUUAUGUCCUGGGCUACACACGUAAUACAAUGGUGGCCAACAGAGGGAAGCGAAGCCGCGAGGUAGAGCAAAUCCCUAAAAGCCAUCUCAGUUCGGAUUGCAGGCUGCAACUCGCCUGCAUGAAGCUGGAAUUGCUAGUAAUCGCGGAUCAGCAUGCCGCGGUGAAUACGUUCCCGGGCCUUGCACACACAGCCCGUCA